UGGGGAAUAUUGCACAAUGGAGGGAACUCUGAUGCAGCGACGCCGCGUGAGUGAUGAAGGAAUUCGUUUCGUAAAACUCUGUUCUAUGGGAAGAAAAGGACUGUACCAUAGGAGAAAGCUCCGGCUAAAUACGUGCCAGCAGCCGCGGUAAUACGUAUGGAGCGAGCGUUGUCCGGAAUUAUUGGGCGUAAAGGGUGCGCAGGCGGCUUUACAAGUUGGAUGUGAAAUAUUGUGGCUCAACCACAAACGUGCAUCCAAAACUGCAAAGCUUGAGUUAAGGAGAGGUAAGUGGAAUUCCUGGUGUAGCGGUGGAAUGCGUAGAUAUCAGGAGGGAUACCGGUGGCGAAGGCGACUUACUGGACUUAAACUGUCGAUCAGGCACGAAAGCGUGGGGAGCAAACAGG
rnacentral:rRNA from 1 species